AACGAACGCUGGCGGCAUGCCUAACACAUGCAAGUCGAACGAGACCUUCGGGUCUAGUGGCGCACGGGUGCGUAACGCGUGGGAACCUGCCCUUAGGUUCGGAAUAACUCCCCGAAAGGGGUGCUAAUACCGGAUAAUGUCUUCGGACCAAAGAUUUAUCGCCUUUGGAUGGGCCCGCGUUGGAUUAGCUAGUUGGUAGGGUAAAAGCCUACCAAGGCGACGAUCCAUAGCUGGUCUGAGAGGAUGAUCAGCCACACUGGGACUGAGACACGGCCCAGACUCCUACGGGAGGCAGCAGGGGGGAAUAUUGGAAAAGGGGCGAAAGCCUGAUCCAGCAAUGCCGGGUGAGUGAGGAAGGCUUUGGGGUUGUAAAGCUCUUUUCCCCGGGAUGAUAAUGACAGUACCGGGAGAAUAAGCUCCGGCUAACCCCGU
rnacentral:rRNA from 1 species